GAUGAAGAACGUAGCGAAAUGCGAUACGUAAUGUGAAUUGCAGAAUUCAGUGAAUCAUCGAGUCUUUGAACGCACAUUGCGCCCCCUGGUAUUCCGGGGGGCAUGCCUGUCCGAGCGUCAUUGCUGCCCUCAAGCACGGCUUGUGUGUUGGGCCUCCGUCCUCCUCCCGGGGGACGGGCCCGAAAGGCAGCGGCGGCACCGCGUCCGGUCCUCGAGCGUAUGGGGCUUCGUCCCCCGCUCUUGUAGGCCCGGCCGGCGCUUGCCGACACAUCAAUCUUUUUUCCAGGUUGACCUCGGAUCAGGUAGGGAUACCCGCUGAACUUAAGCAUAUCAAUAAGCGGAGGA
rnacentral:misc_RNA from 1 species